GACGAACGCUGGCGGCGUGCUUAACACAUGCAAGUCGAGCGGAAAGGCUUCCUUCGGGAAGUACUCGAGCGGCGAACGGGUGAGUAACACGUGGAUAAUCAACCUCUUGCUCUGGAAUACCCCGGGGAAACUCGGAUCAAUGCCAGAUAAAGUGCGGUGCUGUUGGGUGCCGUACCAAAGAUAGCUUCGGCCUUCGGCGAG
rnacentral:rRNA from 1 species